CGGGGACGGGUGAGUAUGUCGUAGGGAAACCGCCUGAUGGGGAGGGGAAUACACUGGAAACGGUAGCUAAUACCGCAUAACGUCGCAAGACCAAAGAGGGGGACCUUCGGGCCUCUUGCCAUCGGAUGUGCCCAGAUGGGAUUAGCUAGUAGGUGGGGUAACGGCUCACCUAGGCGACGAUCCCUAGCUGGUCUGAGAGGAUGACCAGCCACACUGGAACUGAGACACGGUCCAG
rnacentral:rRNA from 1 species